GGCCAGGUAGCUCAGUUGGUAGAGCAGCGGACUGAAAAUCCGCGUGUCGGCGGUUCAAGUCCGCCUCUGGCCACCA
rnacentral:tRNA from 1 species